GAUGAACGCUGGCGGCGUGCUUAACACAUGCAAGUCGAACGAAGCAUUUAAGACAGAUUACUUCGGUUUGAAGUCUUUUAUGACUGAGUGGCGGACGGGUGAGUAACGCGUGGGUAACCUGCCUCAUACAGGGGGAUAGCAGCUGGAAACGGCUGGUAAUACCGCAUAAGCGCACAGUACCACAUGGUACAGUGUGAAAAACUCCGGUGGUAUGAGAUGGACCCGCGUCUGAUUAGCUUGUUGGCGGGGUAACGGCCCACCAAGGCGACGAUCAGUAGCCGAGCUGAGAGGGUGACCGGCCACAUUGGGACUGAGACACGGCCCAGACUCCUACGGGAGGGAGCAGUGGGGAAUAUUGCACAAUGGAGGAAACUCUGAUGCAGCGACGCCGCGUGAGUGAAGAAGUAGUUCGCUAUGUAAAGCUCUAUCAGCAGGGAAGAUAGUGACGGUACCUGACGAAGAAGCGCCGGCUAAAUACGUG
rnacentral:rRNA from 1 species